AUACUACUCCCUUCGUCCGGAAAUACUUGUCAUCAAAAUAUAUAAAAAGGAUGUAUCUAGAUGUAUUUUAGUUCUAUAUACAUCUUUUUUUGUCCAUUUUGAUGACAAGUAUUUUCGGACGGAGGGAGUACUAU
rnacentral:pre_miRNA from 1 species